GACGAACGCUGGCGGCGUGCUUAACACAUGCAAGUCGAACGAAAAGAGGGAACGAGCUUGCUCUUUCCGGAAUUGAGUGGCAAACGGGUGAGUAACACGUACACAACCUGCCUUCAGGAUGGGGACAACAGACGGAAACGACUGCUAAUACCGAAUAAGUUCCAAGAGCCGCAUGGCCCAAGGAAGAAACGGUUGCCUCUACCUGUAAGCUAUCGCCUGAAGAGGGGUUUGCGUCUGAUUAGCUGGUUGUAGGGGUAACGACCUACGAAGGCGACGACCAGUAGCCGGACUGAGAGGAUGAACGCCCACACUGGAGCUGAGACGCGGACCAGACUACUACGGGAGGCAGCAGUGGGGAAUCUUACGCAAUAGGCGAAAGCCUGACGGAGCAAGGCCGCGUGAGUGAUGACGGCCUUCGGGGUGUAAAACUCUGUGAUCCGGGACGAAAAGGCAGAGUGCGAAGAACAAACUGCAUUGACGGUACCGGAAAAGCAAGCCACGGCUAACUACGU
rnacentral:rRNA from 1 species